rnacentral:rRNA from 1 species
AGAGUUUGAUCCUGGCUCAGGACGAACGCUGGCGGCGUGCCUAACACAUGCAAGUCGAGCGAUGAAACCCUUCGGGGUGGAUUAGCGGCGGACGGGUGAGUAACACGUGGGUAACCUGCCUCAAAGAGGGGAAUAGCCUCCCGAAAGGGAGAUUAAUACCGCAUAAUAUGUUUUGGUCGCAUGAUCAAAACAUCAAAGGAUUUUCUUCGGAAUUUCCACUUUGAGAUGGACCCGCGGCGCAUUAGCUAGUUGGUGAGGUAACGGCUCACCAAGGCGACGAUGCGUAGCCGACCUGAGAGGGUGAUCGGCCACAUUGGAACUGAGACACGGUCCAGACUCCUACGGGAGGCAGCAGUGGGGAAUAUUGCGCAAUGGGGGAAACCCUGACGCAGCAACGCCGCGUGAAUGAUGAAGGCCUUCGGGUUGUAAAGUUCUGUCUUCUGGGACGAUAAUGACGGUACCAGAGGAGGAAGCCASGGCUAACUACGUGCCAGCAGCCGCGGUAAUAC